rnacentral:lncRNA from 13 species
AUAAAGUCAGCACCACACAAUCCAACGUGCGCAAACCCUGUUGUCCAGUCAGUCACCCAGCAAAGCAGUUCAACUGUUCUGCUCACACGCUCUAGCCAAUUACUAUAAUCAGUCAGCUGAAGCUAACAUUUACUUCAUUACCGUUAAAAAGAAAGCAGCAAAAAAGAACUGGUCGAAUUAAUGCGUUAAGCCACUGUGAACUGGAUAAUUGUAAUAAUGUUUAAUAACGGUAAAAUAGUCCUCUCCAAAAGAUCUAUAGUGUGAUACCAACGUACACAUAUCAGACACGUGAUUUUCUUUCGAAUCUGAUCUAAUUACAGUGGCUGUUUCGCAAUCCAAUGUAUCCAAAUGGCUUUAACAGUUAAGCUACGCGGUGCCCGAUUUUAGACAGCAUACAUACUCUAUUUCACUCACUACAAACGUGGCACACAUACAUAGAACAUGUACGUCGAGAAAAUAAGGAAACGGUCUACUCAGAUGAUUUCGAACAGCAUCGAAUAAACAUGGUCUGAAUCCGGAUUUAAAUGUGGUUUUGUAGGCUAACAAGAAAAACAUUUGAUUCGCUUCCAGCUGCUUCCCAACCGCAGUGCGCUGUUUACAGUGGACUAGUAGAGAUAAAGUUGCAGCAAGAAUACAAUUACGUUAGGUAAAAAACAUUGUCCAGUAUACAUAAAACCCGGUAAGAACAGUGUAGCCCACUUUUAAAGCGUGUGGCAACAGUUGGAGCCCUGCUGACUAAGCCAACGAACGGAUCAGAUGUUUUUCUCAUUUUUUCCCCUCUUAUUUUUGGCUACUUUAAAUAUUCAACAUUAGGCAUUCUCACGAUGUAUCCAACCUACAGGAUAACGCUCAAAGGAUUUGAAUAAUGUUGCAAUGAUUGCAAAAAAACUUACCGUAGUAUUCGUUCUCUUCUGUACGCUUCUCUGUUCAGCAGUUGUGAUGAUAAUAAUGCAAUAGGCCUACUCUCUCUUGUCAGUUCUCUCCGCAGUCGCGUAAACUGACGACAGAUUCCGUUUUUGGACGAUUCAGUUAGUUAUAAAUUAUUCCACAUUCCCAACAAAUGUCACUUGUAUUUGUUUGCGUUUUUCCUUUACAUUUCUUGCGAAGCAUCUGGAAAUCAAGACAUAUGAUGCUGUCAGUUUACAUAGCGGAACUCGCUCUCUGCUCCGCUCACUCCCUCAAUCGCCAGGCUCUGUAAUAGGAAACCAAGAAAGAAACAAUACGCAAAUAAGAUCCACUUCCAAAGCAUAUAAAACCUCUCAUCGGCGCUCUCCGACGGAGAACUGCACAACUCUCGAUAUGAAGAAGUUUCUGCAGAAAUAAAAACAGUCAGUAGAUAGAGGGACAUCGGUUGGUCGUCGCAUUAAUGAACAGAUAUUCCGGUGGAAUACCGGUUAAGUGUGCCUAUACCGUUACGCUGCAGCGUGUGCCAUACUUCUGUAUUACGUAUCACAGUGGGGACCAAGGAUGACACAAAGGCACAAACAGGUCCCCGCCCAUUCCCCCUGUGCAAUUCCCAGACUGGGCUAUUUGAUAGUCCCAAAAGUCAGGUUACAGAGG